GAUAUUUUCGAGGGAAAUGGAGUCCACACAGCAGGUAAGAUCAGAACUUGAUGCCAAGGCAAAGGAAGGAGAGGUGGUGAGAGCCUUGAAGCUCAGGAAUUCCUAGCUGAACAGAGGAGCCAUGGAGGACCGUCUACAAGGGACUUGCUAGAAACUGAAGGGUACAACAAGGAGGAGGCAGGCUGUGAAUUCAUACACCCCGCCAAGGAAGAACCUGUAGAAGAAGACCCUGGCCCAGAUGCAGGAAUUGAUGCUGACAAAUGCAGAGGAUGAUCCAUACCUUGACCAGGAACUGCCUGUUAUGGCUGCUUUCUCCUUUGUUUCUAUAUGUUUGUCAGGUCUCCUAAUAGAUAUGUUAGUAGCAUGAAGCACCAGUUCUGCUCUGCUGCAUGUAAAAAUAAACAGCCUGUUUGCUAGCAUCAUCCCGUUGAAACUUGUUGCCGUCUGUGUCAUCUCUUGUAACAUGGCAGUGUUUCAUUCUGUGUCAUCUCUUGUAACAUGGCAGUGUUUCAUGAGCUUCCACUAGGGUUGGAGAAAGAGCACAUGCAACAACUUUCUUGAAAUUACAAGACAGAAUCUAUUUUUCUGAAA